rnacentral:lncRNA from 1 species
CAGUUAUCUUGAGAAAAUAUCUUUUUUUAAUAUUUAUUUUUUAGGUGUAGAUGGAUACAACACAAUGCCUUUAUUUUUAUGUGGUGCUGAGGAUCGAACCUGGGUCCCGCCUGAGCUGGGCGAGCGCUCUACCACUGAGCCACAAUCCCAGCCCCGAGAAAAUAUCUUAAACAAUUGCUGGAUUACAAGGUUAAUAUAUGUGUGAAUUUAUGGUAAACUGUGACACCAAUUUCCAAAGUGAUUGUACCAUUUUAUCCUUUCACCACCAAUGUAUGAAUGCUUCAGUUAGUUAAUACUUUUGCUGACAUUAGUUUUUGUCUACAGAUCAGUUUUGUGAUAUUAAAAACCCUACAACUAAUAUUUUCUGUAACUAAAGGAAAGUGGUCAAAUUUAAGAAAUUAAAUUUGAUACAAUAGUCUUUAACUACAAAAUGCAAUCAGAUUUUACAAUUUUUUUUUUCACUAAUGUCCUCGUCUAUUCCAGAUCCAAUCUAAGAUUCCAAGUUACAUUAUUUAUCUCCUUAGAGGUAGGGUGAGGAUAAAAGUGAAAUUAAAUAAACACUGUAAAAUGAACACAAUAGACACCCUUUCCCCAUAUCUCCCAUUUUGCUUUCAAUGGUUUCAGUCACCCAUGGUUGACUGUUGUUUGAAAAUAUUAAAUGGAAAAUUCCAGGUAUAAUUGAUAGGUUUUAUAAUUGAGUAGUAUAUCAUUUCACCAGGUUUGAAAAUCAUUCCUUUGCCAAUGUACCCAUGUGGUCUAUGCUGCCUGUCCAUUAGUCACUUAGUAACUAUCUCAGUUAUCACAUCAGCUGUUGCAGCUUCAUACUGCUUAUGUUCAAGUAGUUCUCAUUUAUCUUGAUAAUGGUUCCAUAGCAUAUUAACAGAGAUUCUGGCCCAAAGAAAGGCAGUAAAGUGGUUCCUUUAAGUGAAAAGGUGAAAGCUCACUAACUUAGGAAAGAGAAAAAUCAUAUGCUGAGUUUGUUAAGAUCCAUGUUAAGAACAAAUCUUGGGGCUGGUGUUGUGGCUCAGUGGUAGAGUGCUUGCCUAGCAUGCACGAGGCACUGGGUUCGAUCCUCAGCACCACAUAAAUGUCAACUGAAGAUAUUGUGUUUACCUAAAACUUAAGAAUAAAUAUUUUUUUUAAAAAAGAACAAAUCUAUCUGUGAAAUUGUAAAGAUGGAAGAAAAUAUUCUUACUAGUUAUGUUAUUGCAC